rnacentral:rRNA from 1 species
AAUGGGGGAAACCCUGAUCCAGCAAUGCCGCGUGUGUGAAGAAGGCCUUCGGGUUGUAAAGCACUUUCAGUGGGGAAGAAAUUCUCAAGGCUAAUACCCUUUUGAGCGUUGACGUUACCCACAGAAGAAGCACUGGCUAACUCUGUGCCAGCAGCCGCGGUAAUACAGAGAGUGCAAGCGUUAAUCGGAAUCACUGGGCGUAAAGCGCGCGUAGGUGGAUAUUUAAGUCGGAUGUGGAAGCCCUAGGCUUAACCUGGGAAUUACAUCCGAUACUAGGUAUCUCGAGUAUGAUAGAGGGAAGUGGAAUUUCCGGUGUAGCGGUGAAAUGCGUAGAUAUCGGAAAGAACAUCAGUGGCGAAGGCGGCUUCCUGGAGCAAUACUGACACUGAGGCGCGAAAGCGUGGGGAGCAAACAGGAUUAGAGACCCUGGU